rnacentral:rRNA from 1 species
UGGCGGACGGGUGAGUAACACGUACGUGACCUGACGCGAAGUGGGGGAUACCCGUCCGAAAGGGCGGCUAAUACCGCAUGUGGUCGGUGGGGGUGCCCAUCGAGUAAAGGGAGGAAUCCCGCUUUGUGAGGGGCGUGCGGCCGAUUAGCUAGCUGGUGGGGUAACGGCCUACCAGGGCGACGAUCGGUAGCUGGGCUGAGAGGCCGGACAGCCACACUGGGACUGAGACACGGCCCAG